AGAGUUUGAUCAUGGCUCAGAACGAACGCUGGCGGCAGGCUUAACACAUGCAAGUCGAGCGCACUCUUCGGGGUGAGCGGCGGACGGGUUAGUAACGCGUGGGAACGUGCCCUUCACUGCGGAAUAGCAUUGGGAAACCGGUGGUAAUACCGCAUACGCCCUAUGGGGGAAAGAUUGAUCGGUGAGGGAUCGGCCCGCGUCUGAUUAGGUAGUUGGUGGGGUAAAGGCCUACCAAGCCUACGAUCGGUAGCUGGUUUGAGAGGAUGAUCAGCAACACUGGGACUGAGACACGGCCCAGACUCCUACGGGAGGCAGCAGUGGGGAAUCUUAGACAAUGGGCGCAAGCCUGAUCUAGCCAUGCCGCGUGGGUGAAGAAGGCCUUAGGGUCGUAAAGCCCUUUCGCUGGGGAAGAUAAUGACGGUACCCAGUAAAGAAACCCCGGCUAACUCCGUGCCAGCCGCCGCGGUAAUUC
rnacentral:rRNA from 1 species